rnacentral:rRNA from 1 species
GAGUUUGAUCAUGGCUCAGAUUGAACGCUGGCGGCAUGCCUUACACAUGCAAGUCGAACGGCAGCACGGGAGCUUGCUCCUGGUGGCGAGUGGCGAACGGGUGAGUAAUGCAUCGGAACGUAUCCUGGAGUGGGGGAUAACGUAGCGAAAGUUACGCUAAUACCGCAUAUUCUGUGAGCAGGAAGGCGGGGGACCUUCGGGCCUCGCGCUCUUGGAGCGGCCGAUGUCGGAUUAGCUAGUUGGUGAGGUAAAGGCUCACCAAGGCGACGAUCCGUAGCAGGUCUGAGAGGAUGAUCUGCCACACUGGAACUGAGACACGGUCCAGACUCCUACGGGAGGCAGCAGUGGGGAAUUUUGGACAAUGGGGGCAACCCUGAUCCAGCCAUGCCGCGUGAGUGAAGAAGGCCUCGG